GACGUAGGGCGCGAGCGUUGUCCGGAUUUAUUGGGCGUAAAGAGCUCGUAGGCGGCUCGUUGCGUCGGCUGUGAAAACCCGCAGCUCAACUGUGGGCUUGCAGCCGAUACGGGCGGGCUGGGAUUCGGUAGGGGAGACUGGAAUUCCUGGUGUAGCGGUGAAAUGCGCAGAUAUCAGGAGGAACACCCGGUGGCGAAGGCGGGGUCUCUGGGCCGAUAUCGACGCUGAGGAGCGAAAGCGUGGGGAGCGAACAGG
rnacentral:rRNA from 1 species